rnacentral:SRP_RNA from 1 species
GCCAGGCAUGGUGGUGGGUGCCUGUAAUCCCAGCUACUCGGGAGGCUGAGGCAGGAGAAUCACUUGAAUCUGGGGGAUGGAGUUUGCAGUGAGCUGAGAUUGCACCACUGCACUCCAGCCCAGGUGACAGAGUGAGACUCUGUCUUCA